GCGGCAAUUAAAAUAAUAAAUAAAAAGGAUGAAGAUGUUUUAUGGGCUUCUUGGAGACUAAAGAGAUAAGCUCAAGAGGAUUUUAAAGUCCAGCCCAUUAUUCCACCAAGCCCACAUCAGAUUAAAAUAUAAAGUGGAGGAAAAGGUAAAUUAGGGUUUCAUCACUAAGGAGGCUAAGAAGUGUUUCUUUUCUUGGAGUUUAGAGCACAUACGAUUGAAGAGGCAAAAUUGUUUAGGGGCAUAAGAUGUGGGCUACGAAAUCAAGGUCUUAUUUAAGAGUUUUUUGAGGCCUUUGGAGGUUGUUUCGGCUGGACUUUCAGAGGGAUUCAAGUGCUAUUAAAGUUUAGUUGGGUAACAGAACCUUUGGAUUGCUUCGUAAGGUGCAAGGUAGAGCGUGGGAGUUUUAGGCGAAGUCAAUAAUACUGGAAGUCUUAAAAGAUUAUUAGUUAUAUAUAUAUAUAUAUAUAUAUAUAUAUUUUUUUUUGUUAUUCCGCUUUAGAUUUCACUGUAUUUUGGAGAUUAUUCUAAAUUUGUGGAGUUUGGAUUUUGUAAGAGGUUUUAUUUAAGAGUAUUGUUUCUUUGGAGUUUUUAAUUUA